UACGUAGGGGGCAAGCGUUAUCCGGAAUUACUGGGUGUAAAGGGAGAGUAGGCGGCAUGGUAAGUUAGAUGUGAAAGCCCGUGGCUUAACCACGGGAUUGCAUUUAAAACUAUCAAGCUAGAGUACAGGAGAGGUAAGUGGAAUUCCUAGUGUAGCGGUGAAAUGCGUAGAUAUUAGGAAAAACACCAGUGGCAAAGGCGACUUACUGGACUGAAACUGACGCUGAGGCUCGAAAGCGUGGGGAGCAAACAGG
rnacentral:rRNA from 1 species